rnacentral:rRNA from 1 species
UGGGGAAUUUUGGACAAUGGGCGAAAGCCUGAUCCAGCAAUGCCGCGUGUGUGAAGAAGGCCUUCGGGUUGUAAAGCACUUUUGUCCGGAAAGAAAUCCUUGGCUCUAAUACAGUCGGGGGAUGACGGUACCGGAAGAAUAAGCACCGGCUAACUACGUGCCAGCAGCCGCGGUAAUACGUAGGGUGCAAGCGUUAAUCGGAAUUACUGGGCGUAAAGCGUGCGCAGGCGGUUUGCUAAGACCGAUGUGAAAUCCCCGGGCUCAACCUGGGAACUGCAUUGGUGACUGGCAGGCUAGAGUAUGGCAGAGGGGGGUUAGAAUUCCACGUGUAGCAGUGAAAUGCGUAGAGAUGUGGAGGAAUACCGAUGGCGAAGGCAGCCCCCUGGGCCAAUACUGACGCUCAUGCACGAAAGCGUGGGGAGCAAACAGGAUUAGAUACCCCUGGUAGUCCACGCCCUAAACGAUGUCAACUAGUUGUUGGGGAUUCAUUUCUUAGUAACGUAGCUAACGCGUGAAGUUGACCGCCUGGGGAGUACGGUCGCAAGAUUAAAACUUAAAUGAAUUGAC